UCCGAGUUGACCCCGGCAGUCUCCUACGAGUCCCCGGCAUUACCCGCUGGCAACAUAGGACAAGGGUUGCGCUCGUUGCGGGACUUAACCCAACAUCUCACGACACGAGCUGACGACAGCCAUGCACCACCUAUCGCAGGCCCUUACGGACACCGCAUCUCUACGGCUUUUCCUGCGUAGUUCAACCCAGGUAAGGUGGGGAUGACGUUCGUCUGAC
rnacentral:misc_RNA from 1 species